rnacentral:tRNA from 1 species
GCCCGGGUAGCUCAGUCGGUAGAGCAGAGGACUGAAAAUCCUCGUGUCGGUGGUUCGAUUCCGCCCCCGGGCACCA